rnacentral:rRNA from 1 species
CCGUCGUGAAGAGGGAAACAACCCAGACCGCCAGCUAAGGUCCCAAAGUCAUGGUUAAGUGGGAAACGAUGUGGGAAGGCCCAGACAGCCAGGAUGUUGGCUUAGAAGCAGCCAUCAUUUAAAGAAAGCGUAAUAGCUCACUGGUCGAGUCGGCCUGCGCGGAAGAUGUAACGGGGCUAAACCAUGCACCGAAGCUGCGGCAGCGACACUAUGUGUUGUUGGGUAGGGGAGCG